rnacentral:rRNA from 1 species
AUUGAACGCUGGCGGCAUGCCUAACACAUGCAAGUCGAACGAAGCCUUCGGGCUUAGUGGCGCACGGGUGCGUAACGCGUGGGAAUCUGCCCUUGGGUUCGGAAUAACAGUUAGAAAUGACUGCUAAUACCGGAUGAUGUCUUCGGACCAAAGAUUUAUCGCCCAAGGAUGAGCCCGCGUAGGAUUAGGUAGUUGGUGGGGUAAUGGCCCACCAAGCCGACGAUCCUUAGCUGGUCUGAGAGGAUGAUCAGCCACACUGGGACUGAGACACGGCCCAGACUCCUACGGGAGGCAGCAGUGGGGAAUAUUGGACAAUGGGCGAAAGCCUGAUCCAGCAAUGCCGCGUGAGUGAUGAAGGCCUUAGGGUUGUAAAGCUCUUUUACCAGGGAUGAUAAUGACAGUACCUGGAGAAUAAGCUCCGGCUAACUCCGUGCCAGCAGCCGCAGUAA